rnacentral:hammerhead_ribozyme from 1 species
GCACUACUGAGGAGUCCCAUACUAGGACGAAACGGCCGCCCAGUGC